rnacentral:rRNA from 1 species
UGGGGAAUAUUGCGCAAUGGAGGAAACUCUGACGCAGCAACGCCGCGUGAGUGAGGAAGGACUUCGGUCUGUAAAGCUCUGUUAAUGUGGAAAAAUGGUAGUUGGUCUAAUAGGCCGAUUAUUUGAUGGUACACAUAGAGGAAGUACCGGCUAACUUCGUGCCAGCAGCCGCGGUAAUACGAAGGGUACAAGCGUUGUUGCGGAUUUAUUGGGCGUAAAGCGCGCGUAGGCGGACCUGCAAGUCAGAUGUGAAAUCUCGGGGCUCAACCUCGAAACUGCGUCUGAAACUACAGGUCUAGAAUCUCGGAGGGGGAAGGGGAAUAUCGCAUGUAGGGGUAAAAUCCGUAGAUAUGCGAUGGAACACCAGAGGCGAAGGCGCCUUCCUGGACGAGUAUUGACGCUGAGGCGCGAAAGCGUGGGGAUCAAACA